rnacentral:tRNA from 1 species
AUUAAAGUGGCAGAUUAAUGCUUGGGAUUUAAGCUCCUUAUAUGAUUUUAUCCUUUAAUA